GCGUUUUUUAGAGAACCCUCUGUUUUAGGCUUUCAUUUCUCUGCCAGUUUACUGCUUUGUAGUCAUGGAAGAGCAGUCAGCCUAUAGCAGAGUCGUCUCUAUAACUUCUCUAGCCACAGAGAUCACCCCCGCCCCUGGUCUGCUCAGGAUGCUAGCCUCUCGCUGCCUGUUCUAGUCUGUUCCUAGUUUGUCCCUCAGGACAAACCUUUCCUGGCGAGCUUCCGGAUUGACUUUGCUGGUCUGAGUUAGACCUCCAGUAGGAAGGUCUGGAGAUGGUUCCCUUAUCACAAUGUAUGGCACCCGAACAUGGGACACAAGAAUCACAAGAAACAAAGAAGCAGCAGCACCCGAGAACUGUUCAUGAGUAGGAUCUUCCCAGAGUUCUUUUGGUGACCUGAGGGGAAGGAAAGGGAGAAGAGACCCAGUAAGACAUUUUCCCCUCAGGGGAAGGAAAGGGAGAAGAGACCCAGUAAGACAUUUUUAGUCUUUAUAAUUUCCAGAUUAAAAGGAGUGUAUCUUCUCCUGGCUUGACCUGAACAGUCAAGUUCUUCAAAUACAGAGUAUGCUUCUAUUCUCAAACCAAAUGUAUCUUGUCCUUCCUCUUUAGCUUUAACUAAUGCCUCUUGUAAUGGUGACAUGGGGGGAUGGGCAAAACUGCUGCAUAGAGGUGCUGAUGGUGUCACUACUCCCACUCCUCCUCCUCUCUCCAUCUAUGAAGUCGAAGUUGAGGGAGGAGGGUCAGGAGAUGGGAAUGCCCUAAGGAUACCUGCUCAGGUGUAACUGAUCUGUGAAAGUGAGAAGCAUCCCUUAAGCUCAUCAGCACUGUCCUUAAGAUACUUAACUCUUUUCCUGCCCAACUCUUCUUGCCUUCCAACUGCUUUGUCAGUACCAUCCUCUUCCUGCUCUUUCCUCACACUUCCUGUCAGGCUGUCCACAUUAAAAUUUUUCCUUGUUUUUAAAAUUUGUGGGAUUCUUUAAAGCCAAUUGUAUUAUGUUGUACAUAAGGAAUGUUUCCUCAGGAAUUGAAUCAGUACCCAUAGCUUGGUAAUAUUCAAUUAGUUGCUCUCUCACCAUUUUCCACAUAUCUGGCUCUAAUUUUUCUUUCUUAGAGAUCCAAGGAGAUAUGUACUCUAAUAUAUUUAAGAGUCCAGUGAUCUGCUUCUGAGUUACCAACAAACCUUGCUUCUUUAUUCACUUAACUAUGCAUGCUACACACUCCCCUUGGGGUGGGGAAGGCUCUUUUCUUAGUAUUUGCCCCAUUUCGGCUGAAAAAUGAAAGUGACUGAUUACCUUACCAAAUCUUUCUGCUUGUCUAUUUUUGUACUUACCCUAUUUCUGGGUCCCAGGGACUUCUCCACUGAACUCGCCAAUCAAGUCAAUCAAAAUGUGUAGGUCCUCAUAUCUAGUGCCCCAUGUUGGAUGCAAAAAUGUAUUGUGCUUUCUAGAGCCCGUACCUUGGGAUGCCAAAAUAUCCCAUCCUGACUAGCUCUCUAGAAUCUCGGGACCAGCCUGAAUCCUUGAUCUUAGUGGAAGAGUGAUAAAGGCAGGAGACCCAGAGGAUGGUCAAAGAUUGAGUGCCUUAUUUCCAGUUUUCUCAGCCCUUAAAUACCUUGGUAUGAUUAUAUCAUUAAUGCACACACUAAGUAUGUGCCAAUUAGAGAACCAUUAUAUCAUCACAUCACACUGAGCAAGUGCUAACUAUAAGCAUCCUGCUAUUGCUAUGUAAAUGCAUCUUUACUGUAAGUAUCCCUUGAUUCAAGUAGAGUACAGGUGGUCAUGCCCUCUUUGACUUCUCAGGAAGGGUGAGAGCACCAAAGAGAGGUGGGAGCCAAACCAGACAUUGUCAGCAGGUUCCCUCUGGGCUGACAGGUCUUAUACCUUACCCAGAGUUCCCCUACUAUCUGCAGAUCUCUACAGUAUUCAUAGAACAACUUAUUCCACCCAUCUUCAAUUAAUUGGUAUUCCUUUAGUUUCCAGGAUUUUUUUUUUCCACUACAAAUAAAGAGCUGCUUUAAAUAUUUUUUCCUCAUUUAAAAUAAUCUUUUGAGUAUAGCUGUAUCAAAGGGUAUACACUGCUUAGUAACAUUUUGUGUAUAAUUCCAAAUUGCUUUCCAGAAUGGUUAUAUCCAUUCAUAGAACAGUGCACUAAUAUGCCAAUUUUCCCACAGCCUCUCCAACAUUUGUCAUUUUCUUUUUUGAGGGAGGUCAUCAUCUUUGCCAGUCUGUUGAGUAUGAGGUAGUACCUCAAAAUUGGCAAGAGAAUCACAAGUAUAUUCUAUAAUAUUUUUAAAUGGGGUUUAUCUUUCUGUUUUUGAUGGUUUUUAUUUAUAAGGCAGCUGGUGGCACAAAGUGGAUAGAGCACUGGACUUACAUUCUGGAAAAUCUAAGUUGAAAUCCAGCUUCAAACACUUAAUAGUUGUAUGACUCUGAGCAGAUCACUUAACCUCAGCUUGCCUUAGUUUCUUCAAUUGUAAAAUGGGAAUAAUAUUAGCACAUUCCUCCCAAGGUUGUUGAAAGGAUCAAAUAAGAUAAUAUUUGUAAAGUGUUCUGCAUAUUUAUUGGCAGAUAUAAUCUUGCUUAAUUAAAACUUUCCCUCUUUUUCUCAUUAGUAUUAUACAGCUAUGUUGAUUAUGUGUGGACUUGUUUUCAAUGUUAGUGAAAUUUUUCAAUAAUUCAAUUCAUUUUUAAAUUGAUUCUCAAGGGUCUUUCAAGUGCAUCAUAUCAUCUGAAAUAAAUGAUAAUUUUGUUCUUUA